GGGUUCGUGGUCUAGUGGUAUGAUUCCUCCUUCGGGUGGUGGAGGUCCCGGGUUCAAUCCCCGGCGAGCCCC